CUCUGUCAAGUCGGCGACUGCGACGGUCGCUCUCCCUUUGCUUUUCUCGUGUCGCCGCUGGCUCGCGACGUGCUCCGCCCAGCACGCACUUUGUGCGAGGAGGAGGCCCUCGCCGCUGUGCUUUGAGCGCGCCUGUGUGCCGGCUCCCGCUCUUCGAGCCAGUGUGCAUAACGAUGUUGUCUAGUGCUCACAGCGCGGCAUUCGCGCGGCCCACAGCCGCUCUCUGGACUUCCGCGCGCAGCUUUGGUGCCGGCCCGACGCGACUCUUGCUUGGGCUGGAGCAGGUGCAGGAUGUGCCCACCUCAACCGACCGCAAGCCCACCGGUAUGCACCGCGGUCCUGGCAAGCGCCAGACCGCACCCAAGGAGGCGGCACAGUAUCAAUUCAUAAAGAAGUGGGACUUACAGAUGCGCGAGGCAUGGGACGAGCUUGAGCCGUUCAAGGGGCUGCCAAAGCCCAAGGCGCAGUUUGGCAACGAAGCCGCCGAGGUCAUCUGGCCAUACGCGCUGCUGCUUGAGAAUGUCAUCAAGGUACACCCGUACACCAAGUCCAUUUAUGUCUAUUAUAGUCAGCGGCAGAGCACACCGCUGGGAGAGCUGGCGGCACGAGUGGCGAAACGUGUGUCGCAGGCAUAUCUGAUCCCCAUCACCUUCCACAACUCGCAUGUGUACGUGGAGGCGGAGAUGCUACUCGAGUACAGCGAAACACCAUGGGUUGUCGUCCACUGCCUCGACGGCACACACAAACUCAUUCCUGUAAAGCCGCAGGCUGGUCAGACCGUGAAGGAGGGUGCCGAGGAGGUUCUGAACGGCAUCGUGAGCGCCUGCAACGAAAUAGGCAACGCAGUGAAGAACCCUAAGGAGGUGAUGAGAUUGCUCAGUGAGCGUCCUCUGCAGAACCAGUACGUGCGCGUGAACUACCAGUGGUACGGCGACACGCCUGAGGAGCGCAUGAGCCACCUCGUCAAGUGGGACUACGAGCCGGAGGAGGUAGUACCGCAGUUGCGCAACCGCACGCAGCAUGUGCUAGACUGGAUGAACUACGACGGUAAUCUGCCAACGCACAACUCCGUGCGGGUGAACAUUCGCAGGGAAGCUGCUCGCAUGCGCAAGCCUAACGUGUCUGCCGGGCCAAAGACCUUCUUCAACUCCUCCGGCUCACGGGCCAACGCGCGUACUGCACGCUUUAAUAAUUCUCGCAGCUCGCAGUCGUAAAGCAUGACGCCCAUGGAGAAGAUGAACGUGUUUUUCAGGGUAAAAGCGAGGCCACUGGCAAGGCUGGGGGGGGGGGGGCACCCAAAACAUGGCACCCGUAAGGCAAAGGAGAGUGUUGUGUGUGUGCGCGCGCGCUCCGCAUCCCCAGCGGAGGUAUGUACUCUCAUAUGCAGGUGUGUCGGGGAGGGACAAUUCUACGCGUAUCGUGCUUUCACUGCUGUUCUCUGUCGGUGCAUCUACGUUCAAGUUGUUGGAAGUAAGGGGGAAGAGGCAAUCAAGCAUGCGCCGCCUAGUCACUGCGCCCCGUGUAGACGCUUGGUGUGGCAGUCACCUCCCGUCCCGCCUCUGCGCGCCUGCAAGUUGGUGUUUUGGGCUCCCUUUUCCUUUGCCAC
rnacentral:misc_RNA from 1 species